GCAGCGUGAAGAACCACGUCAGUCACGCACAGAAGACCAUUAGACUCAAACCCUGUCCUGCUGAUGGUUCUGUUGGGUCUGUUAGGAGCUUUUCACAUCUACAUGAGACACACAUCAGCAAAGAAACAGGAAGAUCAGAAAGUGAGGAUGAGAAGAUUGAGAGAAGGACAUGAAGACACAGCAGAAGAUUCAUGAGAGUAGCAGCAGAUCAUCACAUCUAUUUACACUAUAAAUCUCACUGACUCUCACAUCAAUCCAGCUUUCAGAUGUCAAAUAAAACCAGGAGACAGAAGAAGCUUUCAUAAUCAACACUGAUCUUUACAUGUGUUGUGUUUAUUUCUUGUCGAGUAUGUUGAUGUAUUUCUGUGAGAAUUAUUUCUGUCCGAUCUGAAUCUGCUUCUCAUGAAAUCACCAUUUAAACUCAUUUAGAGGCAGAAUUACAGACUUGUGAUGAAUGAAUAAACCAGACUAACUACAGUUUAGAUAUGAAUGUAUUUUUUAAAUUGUCUGUUGUACAUUUGUUUUUGCAUUAGUUUUAUUCAUUUGUCUUUAUGCUUUGACUGAACUAACAGUAUUUUUGUUUCAUCACAUGGAACACCUUUUGUUCAUUCAUUAUAAAACUCUUCUGGCUGAUUGUGAAGUCAUUCUGUGUGUUUAUUUUCUAGUUAUUUCACAUUUCUGUUUUUCAUUUUGUAUCUGUCUCUUCUGUGUCUAAUCAGAUGUUUUAACUGUUCAAAUCAGUUUCUCUUGAUCUGUGUGUCAGUUUUAGGUUGUCACUGUUAAAAUUAAAUAAUAUUAAAUAUGAU